GGGAGGGGAACGGGGUGGAGGUCGGGGGAGGGGAACGAGGGUGAAGGUCGGGGAGGGGCACCGGUGGAGGUCAGGGGAGGGGAACUAGGGUGGAGGUUGGGGAGGGGAACUGGGGUGAAGGUCGGGGGAGGGGAACGGGGUGGAGUUCGGGGGAGGGGAACGAGGGUGGAGGUCAGGGGAGGGGAACGGGGGUGGAGAUCGGGGGAGGGGAACGGGGUUGGGGUUCAGUGGAGGGAAAUGGGGGUGGAAGUCAGGGCAGGGGCACCGGUGGAGGUCGGGGGAGGGGAACCCGCGUUAGACCAGCCUCCUCCUCUUGCAGUCGCGCUCCAUCGGAUCGCGAGCCGGGGAGUGGGCGGCGCCCAG